rnacentral:rRNA from 1 species
GACGAACGCUGGCGGCGUGCCUAAUACAUGCAAGUAGGACGCACAGUUUAUACCGUAGCUUGCUACACCAUAGACUGUGAGUUGCGAACGGGUGAGUAACGUGUAGGUAACCUGCCUAUUAGAGGGGGAUAACUAUUGGAAACGAUAGCUAAUACCGCAUAACAGUAUGUAACACAUGUUAGAUGCUUGAAAGAUGCAAUUGCAUCGCUAGUAGAUGGACCUGCGUUGUAUUAGCUAGUAGGUAGGGUAAUGGCCUACCUAGGCGACGAUACAUAGCCGACCUGAGAGGGUGAUCGGCCACACUGGGACUGAGACACGGCCCAGACUCCUACGGGAGGCAGCAGUAGGGAAUCUUCGGCAAUGGGGGGAACCCUGACCGAGCAACGCCGCGUGAGUGAAGAAGGUUUUCGGAUCGUAAAGCUCUGUUGUUAAGGAAGAACGAG